AGAAUGCAUUAGAGCUAAUGUUGAGAAAAAAUAAAACAGAGUAUGGUAGGUACACCUUAGGUUCACAAAAUUCUGUAAUUGGACAAAAUUAUGGUGAAAAUGAGGAAACUGAUGGCUACAUAUCUGUAAGAAUAAUUUUGCUUUUAACUGUAUAUACUCCAAACAUUAUAUAUGUUCCUGCAGGACAAUUGGUCCUAAGAUAUGUUAAUUGAAGAAAGAAAUUUCUGGCAUAAAAUGUGACUAUCUCUAGCUUGGAAGUCAACUUAAAGUGGGAAGUAGUAGAGGUAAGAAGAGCACAGAGGAGUGGAAGCUAAGAAUAGGAAAGGGUGCAAGAAGCACAGCUGGGCACGGUGGCUCACGCCUGUAAUCCCAGCACUUUGGGGGGCCGAGGCGGGUGGAUCACCUGAGAUCAGGAUUUCGAGACCAGCCUGGCCAACAUGGUGAAACCCCAUCUCUACUAAAAAAUACAAAAAUACAAAAAUUAGCUGGGCGAGGUGGCACGCCUCUGUAAUCCCAGCUACUUGGGAGGCUGAGGCAUGAGAAUCUCUUGCACCUGGGAGGCGGAGGUUUCAAUGAGCCGAGAUCGCACCACUGCACUCCAGCCUGGGCGACAGAGCAAGACUCUGUCUCAAAAAAAAAAAAAAAAAAAAGAAAGGGUGCUAGGAGUACGUGUGUUGUGGAGGGUCUCCAAUUCUCAGGUGAGGCACUGAUGCUUAGCUUAGUUUACCAGGCAACAGGGGAACCUCUGAAAGGGUUAGAGCAGGCCAGUGACACUGUGCCUGAGAUGGUAGAUGCUCAGUGAAGUUGAGUGUUGAGUGAAUGAUUGGUCAGAACCACCCUGGAGAAAAUUGUUAGUACCUUUACAGGGAAGAUAAUAGGUAAGAUGUACCGAGGGUCCUGAGAUCCAACAGGAGUGAGCUCAUGAAAUUCCUCUUCGGCCAAAGUAAAGUGCCCCCCAGGCUUCCACUGCUUUCAAAGAAACAGCAGUGACUGGCUCUUGCUCUUGAUUCCUGGAAUCUCAGAAUUCUGGGAAAUUGGGAAAAUCAGGAAAUGUGAAAUACAUUUGGUUCAUAUAAAUUGCAACUCUUUUUUUUUCUUCUAAUAAGUGUUUGUUGCUGGUAGAAUCACACAGCUGUUUCCUAAAUCAAAGAUCAAUUUGUUAUAUUAUUUUUACUAGUGGCUUAGGGGUAAUUGUUUCUGGAAAACAUCUGUUCUAUAAUUAGAAAACAAAGAUUUAUUUUCCCUGACUGGGUGUAAUUACUUUUGGGGACCGAGGGAAAGCUUUAGAAUUGCCAUGUCAAUUCAAAGAGGAUUGUUUGCAGUGAAAUAUGUCCUUUUAAUUUUUCUUAAGUAGCUCGGAGGCUGGAAGAAAAUGCAUGUUUAUUAGCAUUGUAUAGGCUGUAAUAGAAUAAAGCAAAAUUCCCAGAUGUGUAUGGGCUUGUUAAUACAAAUAACUCCAGUGAUUUCAACUCAGUCAAUUACAAAGAAUUCCAUUUUUGAAAAGAAAUGAAUGGAUAUCAGAGUGUUAAGGGCCUUUCCUGGCAAGUCCAUAGAUAGUUCUAAUUCUAAUUCUCUAAUUAGAAUUAGAUUGAUUGCCCCUUUGGCAAGCAAAGACUCUUACAGAUGCCAGGGACUUACUCUGAUUUGCUUUUUGUGGUGACGUAGGGUGGAUUUGAGCUCACAUGAUUCCGUGCACCCUAAGAGAGUCCUGCUCUGAGGCUUGAUUUUCAGCCCUGUCUUCUGCUUGCGAACGUGUCGCCCUCCACCCCAUCCCUGCCACCCCUCACCACUGUACCCUGAGCUCUCACUCAUUUCUGCAGUUCUCCUGAUAUUACAUCCAAGCCCUGAUUACAUGCUGUUCAUUGAGUCACUUGACCUUCCCAGUCUCAAUUGUACCCUGAUGUCACCAGUUUCCUAUUGACAUAUGUGACAACAUAAAUGAAUCUCAAAAUAAACUAUGUUGAGUGAAAGAAGCAAGGUGAAAGAGUACAUGCUAUUUUGUGGCAUUUAUACAAAACUCUAGAAAAUAUAAACUCAUCUGUAGUGACGGAAAGAUCUGUGCUUGCUUGGGGCUGGGACUGGAGAAGACCAGGAAGGAGAAAUUCCAAAAGGAAACUUUUGAGGGGGAUGGAUGUGUUUGCAAUCUUCAUUGUGGUGACGGUUUCAUGAGUUGUGUACAUGUGUCAAAACUUAUCAACUCGUAUACUUCAUCUUAAAGUCUGUUUAGUCUGAUGUUAGUAUGCCAUGCCAGCUCUCUUAUGGUUGAAAUUGUAUACUUUAAAUAUGUUCAAUUGAUUGUAUGGUGAUUAUACCUUAAUAAGGCAUUUUUCUUUUUCUUUUAGAAUAACCCAGUGGAAAUCUCUCACAUAAGAAGUGAUAGAACUACACAUCUGAGUGUAGGACGAUCUGAUUCUAAAGUCCGUGCCCUUGACUACUUAGUAAUUAUUGCUUCUUCUGUAAUGCAAAUAGCCACUUUGUGUAUUUGGUAUGGCUGAACUUCUUUAAUAUUGGAAGGUUUGGGAACAGGGAAUAAGGUUCUUUCCCAUACCUCUGAUGGGGGGGGAAUAUUAGAGUUUCUGCAGAGUAAUUUGGUGAUGUCUUGAAAGCUUUAUGAAUGCACAUAUGCUUUCAUUUAUCAAUUCCAUAUAUAGGAACCCAUCUUAAGGAAGUAAGAAUAAAUUUCUGCAAAAACUUAUUUACAGGCAUAAUAAGCACAAUUUGUUUCAUAAAAAUGAAAACUUGGAAAAUUAAUCUGUACCAUGCAGCCAUUGACAUUAUUUUAGUAGAAGAAUAUUUCCUAACAUAGAAAAACAUUCAGAGUAUAUGAUUAUGCAAAUAGAUCCAUUUUAAUAAAAUGUAUAAGUUAUCUGUGUGAAGAAAAAAGUCUGGAAGUAGGUUUUAAAUGGUAAUAUGGUAGUUACUUCUGAGAGAGGAGUACAGAUAAUGGGCGAUUUUAAUUCUAUCCUUUGUGCUUUUUUUAUAUUUUCCACAUUUUUCACAAAUGGCUAUGCAGUGAUUUCAUUUAUCAGAUAAAACCAUAAGUAGGUACCACUUAAAGAGAAGGUAUACCUGUGUGUAAGUUUGCUUUCUUGGGUGCUCUUAAACUUCUGGAUAUUUCCUUGGAUGUAGUCAUCCAUUAGGAUAGAUGGAGGAACAUCCCGGGUGUGGGUGCAUAUUUAUAAUGACACUGAGUAUACAAGUGUGGUUUUUAGGAUUAGAAAACCCAAUCGUUCAAAGAAGGAGUGUUCCUACCUGAGUCAGGUAGAAACCAGGUAACUGGACCAGCAAGGUAAUUGUGGCAGAGAACUCGUGAUUGGGAAAGAGAUCACAUCUUAUCCUGAUGGAGCUCCCUUGCCCAGAUCAAGGGCAGGGCCUGUAUAAAUAGGGCUUUUGGAUAAAUUGCUGCCCCUAUACACUAGCCCGCCAUUGAGUGUGCAAACUCACCCCUUCACUGCCAUGAAGUUGCUUUACCUCCUAGCUCUUUUGAGACCUUGAGAUGCGGUCGUCAUACCAUGUCUCACUUUACCAUCAGCCUUGGUCUCUGCCAUGUGGCUGCAGAUGCUCUGCUACCUUCCUACACAUACUGUUCCUCUCACUUGGCUCUUCCUUUCUUUCUCUCCCACUCAGCCUUACCCUGUGUCCUCUGGAAUUUCUGUGCUUGACCUUCAAAUUCCCCUACAUUCUCUAUCUUUUUACACACUGCUUCUCUUUGGCAUUAAAACUUAUGUUUAUCCAAUCAGAAAAAAAUGUCUCCUUCUACAUAUCCAAAUAUCCAUUGGACUCUAACAUUUCCAUAUUCCAUAGAAAACACAUAUAGUUCCUUCCUGCAGCCUGGAAGGAAUAUUGUGAGAGAAUAGAUACAUUCUUCACCAGCUACCAUUAUCUACAAAUAGAACUUGUGAGUUGGGCAUAACCUUUAGGCCAAUUCUCUAUACAUGUAAAAACAAUAGACCACUUUAUUCACCAAAGUAUGAAUAAAACAUAUAAAACAGAACACUUCAUCUUUCCCCUUAAAUAUGUCCUUUCUUCAUAUUAUUUUACUUUUUGAAAUGUGAAGUAAAAUUUACCUACAUACUUUUCAUCCAGUUGGUUAAUACCUUAACUUAACCAGUCCCCAUAACUAGCCAUAGCCCUCUAAUAUCAAGGAUGUCACUGGAUUAAGAUUUUUAAAAAAUGUGCAGAGCACAAAGCCAAUGUUUCAAUUUGACGUCUUGUGACUAGCUGCUGUUUUAUCCUUCCAUGUUUUCUCCCUCCUCAAAUAAUACGUUUACAUGUCUUUGCCUCCACAACAUUAUAAAUUCAUCAUGUAUUUUCUUCAUCUGCACACACUUGAUAUAGGAAGCAUCCAGCAUUGCACAUGAAAUAAUAUGUAAGGCAGAAUACUCAAGGAGUUAGGAUUGACUUGAUUUGGGCUGUGACUUAGAAGCUGAGUUAUAAGGAGUCAUUGCAAUGUUCUCCUUUAAAGUAUUUUAACAUAGACUAUGCAAAAUUAUGCAUGGGCAGUUAGUUUAAGCUUUAACUUUAUAUCCAUCCAGUCACCCAAAAUGAGAAUUCACAUUGGAAAGGGUGGUAGAUGGAGAUGGGAGUGUGGAUAUCUAGUUAGCUAUGUCAGAGGUACCAUACCCAAUGCGGUUACUAUCAGUGCUCUGUUACCCAGAUUUUGGUCAACAUCCGAGGCUUUGCUAGAUAGCAUAGUGAUGAUGCAGGAUCUUUUUCUCCUUAGCUCAGCUAGGUCCGGGUUCUUCUCUCACAACCAGGAAAAAUUAGUCAUGCGAACACUCGAAGAGUGAGUGAAGUAGAACUUAUUAAGCAAAAGGAAAGCUCUCAGCAAAGAGAAAAGUCCUGAAAGCAGGUUCCUGGUUGUCCCCUUCACAGUUGAAUACAAGGGCUUUUACAUACGUGCUGAUGGGGCUGGAUUCCCUAGUUGUAUAAGGUGCGAAUUCCUUGUGGCUCUGCCGCAUUCCUUCAGUGCACAUGCAGGCCCUUAGUCCACUGCGGGCAUGUUGCGCAGGGCAAGCCCCCUGUGCAAGUUCCCUUAUCUGCACAAAACACGGGUCGGAGUUUCUCCGGGAACCCUUCACUUACUGUCUGCCUAAAGCAAGCUGGCUAACUCCUUUGAGUGAUAUUAGAAAUACUCUUAUUGGUGAAGAUGAUAGCUUGUUAAUUAGCACAACGAUUAUUAGAAAUGCAUUCUCAUUGGAGAAAUCAAAGCAUUCAGGUUUUGUGUGUUGGCUAAAAUAUUUUAGAGACACCCACUACCUUCCAUUACCAGGGCAUGAACAUCUUACAAGAUUGUCACACGUACCCUUAGACCAUGAACCUGAGGCUGGGUCACUGACCUUGGCUUAAUUCUCUGACUUGGGAGCAUUUCUAGUCUUGCGAGGAUAACUGAGAGUAACUGAAUCCUGCCUCUGGUAUGUUUUUGUGUCUGUCUUGACAAAAUUUGUCCUAUAAAUGUGAUGUUUAUAGUUCCCAAAAGAGAGCUGGAAGUUCAUUUGAGUCUAUGGAAACGAUUGCGUGAACUGUGUUGAGCCUGCUUGCCAAUAAUUAUUUAUUGAAUAAAUGUCCAUGCGAUAGGACAAAUUUGGUUUGAGACUUGCUUUUCUUACAGCCUGGAAGGAACAUUGUGAGAGAAUAGAUACAUUCUUCACCAACUACCAUUGUCUACAAAUAGAACUUGUGAGUUGGCCGUACCUUUAGGCCAGUUCUCUAUACAUGUAAAAAUAAUAGACCACUUUAUUCAUCAAAGUAUGAAUGAAAAGAUUAGACUUCAAAUAGGCAAGUACAAAGCCCUGUAUCUGGACAAUAGAGUUGUUGCUUUAAAGGAAAAAUUUCUUUUAAGCCUCAGGAACUAUCUAGGGAAGGGUGGAAGAGGAGGAUUUCGAAGAUUAGCUGAUGGCCACAUUAAAGGCCAGAGGGCAGGGACUGGAAUGCCCACUCUGGGGAGACAGCCAUGGUGGAGAAUGUGGAGAUGGAGUCGUUUUGAAUCCAGUGGCAAUGAAGAAAAGACUUUGGUUAGGAAAAACGAGUCCCAUUGCAAUUAUCUUUGCCCAUAAGGAAUUGUGACUUAUUUCCUUCCCUUAAAUCAAUACCAGACCAGACCCAAAUGCCAGCAAGCACAUAACAGCAGUGACCCAGCAAGCAGUAGGACAGUGCAUUUAAGGACAGCUCCGUCUGGCCUGAGGAAGCAGCAGUUAAGGUUCAAGUCCUGUCUUAUCAUCGUUUUCCCGUUCCUCAUUUCCUUUUGUUUGAGACUGGAGGUCAGUAUCUAGGGGACUAAGGCAAAUGACACACAAGAGAUUUUGUUCCUGGGUGAACACCUCCUUGACUAACCAAAUAUUUAACUGUCUAUUUUCAUCUCUGGACAGCAUAGUGGUAAGAAUGGGAGGUGGUUAAAUAAGGAAGGAUCUGUCCUCUGCUCGUUCUUCCCUGUUACAAAAAUGAUCCCACAUUGACUUCCCUUCGCUCCAAAUUAAACUGCUCUAUUUCUCAUUCAGGCAUCAUAACCCAUUGAUUGUUUUAGUCUGCCAAGGGUACUGUAACAAAGUACCAUAGACUGAGUGUCUUAUAAACAACAGAAAUGUGUUUCUCAUAGUUCUGGAGGCUGGAAGUCGGAGAUCAGCGUGCCGGCGUGGUUGGGUUCUGGUAAGGGCCUCUCCCGGGUUACAGAUGGUCAACUUCUCAUUGUGUUUUCAUGUGGCAGGAAGAUGGUAGAGAGCUCUCUGGAGUCUCUUUUUAUAAGGGCGCUAAUCCUGUUCAUGAGCACUCCUUAUGACCUGAUUGCUUCCCAAAGGCCUCACUUCCCAAAACCAUCCUACUGGGGAUUAGGGUUUCAACAUGUGAAUUUGGGGAGGACACAAACAUUCAGUUCAUUGCACUAAUCUAUCACUUCGCUUCUGAAUAUAUGUUGUUUGCAGUUUCAGGAGGGAAGGUGAGAAAGACUGGCCAGCCCCGAAGGGAGGGAGAUAGGGGUGGUAUGAUUUUAACAAAUUGAAAAGAAUGAUGAACUUCCCUGCAGGCCCUGGCUGUUCACUUUCCAGAUGCGAAACUCUCCACCUUAAAGUGGAGCCCAGAGCAGUAAGACAGGUCAUUGGAUCCGGAUUGGAGGCAAAUCAGCUGAAUGAUGUGGGAAUAUACGAUGAUGCAUGUUUGACACUUUUUUCCAACUUCUGUGGCAGAUGAGCCUGCAUGGCAUAGUGAGUCUGCAACUGUGAACUCGGGAAAUCCUGUACCUUCCCGUGCAGUCGCUCCCCAGCCAUGCAGGUAUUUCCAGAGCCUGGAGAUCCCAGACUACCUUUCAAAAGAAUGAAUUCCAGACCCAGAGAGUCCCCUGGAGGAGAUUCAUGGCAAGCAGCCGUACGAAAUAACAGAAGCCCCAGAGAGGGGAAGCAAUUUCCUGCCUAAGUCGUCCAUCUGUCAGUGGCAAAGCUAGGACUGGAACUCAGGAUUCUCCAUCCCUCUUCCCAAACCUGGCACUAUCUUCCUGGCUUUCUGGGUCUGGAGUCCCAUGUUAGAGGCCCUCUGUUUUCAGAGCAGGACUCAUUGAAUAUGUGUGCUCUUUCUACUCAAGUGCUUCAAGGAUCCUUCCUGGAAAAGCCUCGGUUCCGGACCAGUGCUGUCAUGGCCUCACCAUGUCAUAGAAUUCCCAUCAUUUCACUUGUGACUCCCUUCUUCCUAGGACCCGGGCAUAAAUUCUUGAAGAGUUGAUCUGAGUGACAGACUCCCACGCUAUGCCAAAAACGGCCUCUUAUUUCCCAAUGAUUGAGACCUUUUAUUUGAUCAAUCUCAUGUGCUCACUGGACCCCAGUGAUACCUUCACAUACCUGACACCUCAGGGAAACACAGCUUCCGUUCAAGUCAAGAUCCUUGCUAUACUGCAAACUCUUAUGAAACGUCUAGGAGAAUUUUCAGGCUCCUUUGUAUAUGGAAAAAGGUCAGAAUGAAGCUCCAAAUUCUUCAGCAUGUGUAAAAACUUAAGACAACCAUAUUUUAUUUUUGUUUUAUUUUUUAUUUUUUUCAUUGUUUUUUUUUUUGAGACAGCCUUGCUCUGUUGCCUAGGCUGGAGUGCAGUGGCGCGAUCUCGGCUCAUUGCAACUUCCACCUCCUGGGUUCAAGCGAUUCUUGUGCCUCAGCCUCCCAAGUAGCUGGAAUUACAGGCAUGCACCACCAUUCACAGCUAAUUUUUGUAUUUUUAGUAGAGAUGGGGUUUCACCAUGUUGGCCAGGCUGGUCUCGACCUCCUGACCUCAGGUGAUCCAGUCGUCUUGGCCUCCCAAAGUGCUGGGAUUACAGGCAUGAGCCCCUGUGCCCAGCCAACAACUACAUUUUAAAGCAACUUUAUUCUCAACUGAAUGACAUUUUAAUCACUUUCUUGCCCAUGUGGAUAUGGAUAAGGAUAUUUUGCCAAUAUUCUUGUUUGUGUUUGACUGUGAUGCUAUUGUUAUACAAAGAAUGGGCAGGUGGAGCUAAGCAGAAAGAGACAGUCGGGUACCUGUACCAUGGAAAAUGGAAGAGAGCCAAGCAGACUGCAUCCUUAGGGGGCAGGGAGGUCAGUGCAAGUUGGGACAAAGCCUAGCUGAGUCGGUGAGCACUUCAUGGCAGACUAGUCAAAUUAUAUCUCUUGGACUAAGAUCUUCAUUAAAGGCCUGCACCUCAGAGACAUUUCAGCCUACCAAGGUGCAUCAUUAUGGAAGACUGGGCAUGAUAAUAGUAAUUUAAAUGAAGUUAAAAGAGCAGUCUAAAUUAGAACAGGUAUUCACAUUCCAAUUUCUCUUGAGAAGAGCCUCUGUUGGAUAAAGAAAACUCGCUGAGCAAAAUAAAUCGAUUGGAGGUAAACUUUACCAGCCCUGGAGUGCAAGGUUUAGAAACAUGCACACAUCCCACGGUGUUAAGGGUCCUGCUGUUUUCUUCCAUGUCAUUUCAUCACAGAACAAUUUUCUACAGCAACCUGAUCUACCUUGUGGCCCAGUAAGGCAUGUUUUGUUUUGAGAUGGAGUCUCACUCUGUCGCCCAGGCUGUAGUGCAGUGGCGUGAUCUCCGCUCACUGCAAGCACUGCCUCCCGGGUUCACGCCAUUCUCCUGCCUCAGCCUCCCAAGUAGCUGGGACUACAGGCGCCCGCCACCAUGCCCGGCUAAUUUUCUGUAUUUUUAUUAGAGACGGGGUUUCACCAUGUUAGCCAGGAUGGUCUCGAUCUCCUGACCUCUGGGAUCUGCCCGUUUCGGCCUCCCAAAGUGCUGGGAUUACAGGUGUGAGCCACCGCUCCCAGCCAAGCAUGUGAGAGUUUUAAAUCAAAUGUUACCUUGUCCCUAUUAGCCUUACCACUGCUAAAUAUCUACACGGUUCCCUGUUAAGGAGAGUUUCUAAAUGACUCUCUUGAGAAAUCCUGGAUAAAUGGAGAAUGGAGCAUUUUUCCUGCCUCUAAGCUUUGCUCCACUGCAAUCUUUCACAUGCUGUGUAUCCAGAGGGUGACUGCCAGAUAGCUUCUUGAAGAAAGGGAGGAGGAAACGGUCAUUUUCUUGCUGCGCUUUCUAACACCCAACAGAGGAAAUGCACAGCAUAGGUGUGUGGGAGUUUGGCUGACUUAUGGUAA
rnacentral:lncRNA from 1 species